rnacentral:rRNA from 1 species
AGCUUGCACAGGUGCUGCAUGGCUGUCGUCAGCUCGUGUCGUGAGAUGUUCGGUUAAGUCCGCUAACGAGCGCAACCCUCGCUGUGUGUUAUAUGUGUCACACGGGACUGCCGGUCUUAAGCCGGAGGAAGGUGGGGAUGAUGUCAAGUCAGCAUGGCCUUUAUAUCCUGGGCUACACACACGCUACAAUGGCCAACACAAUAGGUUGCUAAGCCGCGAGGUGGCGCCAAUCCAUAAAGUUGGUCUCAGUUCGGAUUGUAGGCUGCAACCCGCCUGCAUGAAGAUGGAGUUGCUAGUAACCGCAGGUCAGCUAUACUGCGGUGAAUACGUUCCCGGGGCCUU